UUUUCAGUGCUCGAUCGGUUCAGUGCUAGAAUUUUCGUCUGACACCACUGUAUUAAACGUCAUUAACUACAUGUGAAAAACGUGAAAAAAGUAAAAAAAAAAUUUGUGUUCGUUCAGCUUCGAAGUUAUAAAAAUGUCGAGAAGCACCCGAUAUAGAAGAGUGCAACGUGAAAUCGAUAGAGCCGUACGUUUACAGGAAAGUGGGGUUCCACUAAUUAGACAACGUAAUGACGAAAGAUCUGUGCUAAUGGACGACAUUGUUGUCUACGACGAAAAUUUCGGUGAUUCUAUGGAUUUUCGGAACGAAACAGUGGAAUUGUACGAGACUGGACCGUUAGAAGAUGAUAAUAAUGCUAUGGAUCAAUUAUUGGAUCGGGAUGAAGAGAAUGAAUACGUAAUGGACAGUGAUUCGGAUGAUGAAUCUGCUACUGUAGAAGUGUAUGAUGUAGCCAACAAACUCAUAUCGUGGUCUUCACAUUACAAUAUAUCAACAAUAGCAGUAAAUGAUCUAUUGAAAUGGUUUCGCCAAGGUAUUUUCCCUUCUUUACCUAACUCGAUCAACGUAGAGCCGUGUUAAAUAAAAAUAUAAAUGGGAAGAUGAACUCAACAUGUUAUUUUGCAGUUAUUGUGAAUUUAUGUAUAAAUAAAUAUCGUUGAAAUAUAA